UUAGGACACAGGGAACUCCAAGCAGCGGCGGGCGCUCGAGUGUUGUACAGAUCAAGACUACUGUAACCGAGACCUGCACCCAACACUGCCUCCGUUACGCACACCUAGUUAUGUGGUUGGAGACAUUCAUCAUAUCGCUCUGCUCAUCUCAGUGAGCGUCUGUAGCUUCAUCCUCACCUUCAUCAUCAUCUUCUGUUACUUCAGAUAUAAGCGUCAUGAAUUAGCACCGCGCUACAGUCUCGGUCUACAUCCAGACGAAAGCUUCAUUCCUGCUGGAGAAUCUCUGCGGGAUCUCAUAGAGCAAUCCCAGAGCUCCGGUUCUGGCUCAGGACUCCCUCUACUGGUGAACAACACACACUACACACACUGAAAAC